rnacentral:lncRNA from 1 species
UUCACAUCAUAAUACCAUGGCUGGCAAACUUUUCUUCUGUUGCAUGUUUGGCCUAAAGUUUUGGGCAGAAGUGUCUUUCUGAAGGAUUACUUUCUCAUGACCAUCUCUCAUGACCAUCUGGGAAACAUCUGGACUUGACACUCCUGACCUGGCAUUAUGAGGAGGGUGAUGAUGGUGCUUGGAAGAUACAUUGCAAAAGAUCAGGUUUUUUAUCUCCUUGGGUUUACAAAUGGAGGCAGUGCUUAUUCCUGUAACUCCCUAGCCUGCAUACUUGGAAUAAAUCACGGGUCAAAGGCAAGCAAUUUCUCAACAUUGGUCUGUCACAGCUUCCUUACGAACCACAAGCAGGGAGCAGGGAUGAGCAAUAUCACAGGGUUCCAAUAUCCUUCUGUCAGCAAUGUGGCUUCCAGGCAUCUCAUCUGGUCACUGGCUGGGGCUAGGACAAGCCCUUAGAGGACAGCACGGCACCUGUUGAACACAUGUUCACUGCCUGCAGAGUCUGUGGUGGAGUGAGGC